AAAAUUACCCUUUGAUGUUUUCUUGUUCAAUCAUUUAAGAUUAAAUGUAGCAUAAAUUCUUUAUAAUUUGGUUUUGUAUUUAAACAGAAUGCUUUUCCCGAUUCUGAGAUGAUUCACACUGUGACUUUUCCUGACACUUUUAUCCUGCUUCUGAGGAUUAAUGUCCUAAGGACUAUGUCUUUUCUACAAAAAGAUAAGGCAAAACUGAAGGUUCAAAGUACCUUGCUAUCUGCACCAAGGCAUCAAUGAGAAGCAAUGGUCAGAAAUUUUGUUCAAGUAAAAGAUGGUUUGUUCUUCUGAGGACUAUGUGAUAAAAGAAUUGUAUGUAAUAAUGUGGACUCUAGAUUUAUAUUUUAAAGGCAGUAAAUAUAAAUCAUGCUAUAUUUUUUUGUUUGUUUUGUUUUGUUUUUGACCCUAGGAAUUGA
rnacentral:lncRNA from 1 species